rnacentral:rRNA from 1 species
UCGCCCUUAGAGUUUGAUCCUGGCUCAGGAUGAACGCUAGCUACAGGCUUAACACAUGCAAGUCGAGGGGCAGCAUGGUCUUAGCUUGCUAAGACUGAUGGCGACCGGCGCACGGGUGAGUAACACGUAUCCAACCUGCCGUCUACUCUUGGACAGCCUUCUGAAAGGAAGAUUAAUACAAGAUGGCAUCAUGAGUCCGCAUGUUCACAUGAUUAAAGGUAUUCCGGUAGACGAUGGGGAUGCGUUCCAUUAGAUAGUAGGCGGGGUAACGGCCCACCUAGUCUUCGAUGGAUAGGGGUUCUGAGAGGAAGGUCCCCCACAUUGGAACUGAGACACGGUCCAAACUCCUACGGGAGGCAGCAGUGAGGAAUAUUGGUCAAUGGGCGAGAGCCUGAACCAGCCAAGUAGCGUGAAGGAUGACUGCCCUAUGGGUUGUAAACUUCUUUUAUAAAGGAAUAAAGUCGGGUAUGCAUACCCGUUUGCAUGUACUUUAUGAAUAAGGAUCGGCUAACUCCGUGCCAGCAGCCGCGGUAAUACGGAGGAUCCGAGCGUUAUCCGGAUUUAUUGGGUUUAAAGGGAGCGUAGAUGGAUGUUUAAGUCAGUUGUGAAAGUUUGCGGCUCAACCGUAAAAUUGCAGUUGAUACUGGAUAUCUUGAGUGCAGUUGAGGCAGGCGGAAUUCGUGGUGUAGCGGUGAAAUGCUUAGAUAUCACGAAGAACUCCGAUUGCGAAGGCAGCCUGCUAAGCUGCAACUGACAUUGAGGCUCGAAAGUGUGGGUAUCAAACAGGAUUAGAUACCCUGGUAGUCCACACGGUAAACGAUGAAUACUCGCUGUUUGCGAUAUACGGCAAGCGGCCAAGCGAAAGCGUUAAGUAUUCCACCUGGGGAGUACGCCGGCAACGGUGAAACUCAAAGGAAUUGACGG